rnacentral:rRNA from 1 species
UACGUAGGGGGCUAGCGUUGUCCGGAAUCAUUGGGCGUAAAGAGCGCGUAGGCGCCAGAUAAGUCCGGUGUGAAAGUCAAAGGCUCAACCUUUGAAUGCCGCUGGAAACUGUCUGGCUAGAGUCCGGGAGGGGCGAGUGGAAUUCCUGGUGUAGCGGUGAAAUGCGCAGAUAUCAGGAGGAAUUCCAGUGGGGAAGCCGGCUAUCUGGCCCAACACUGACACUCAGACCCGAAAGCGUGGGGAUCAAACAGG